rfam:Populus trichocarpa scaffold_1_contig_279, whole genome shotgun sequence.
UCUAGAACUCGAGAUAUGGGCUGAAUACUGAACAAUGUCUAGGCUGCAGGACAGAUUCCGACUUCUUUGUUGUUGCUACAAUUUGAACUUGAAAAUGGUCCUUUUGAAUCUUGGACUUUUCAUGAAAGUUUUAGGCCUAUGUCUUAUCUUUCUAUC